GACGAACGCUGGCGGCGUGCCUAAUACAUGCAAGUAGAACGCUGAAGGAGGAGCUUGCUUCUCCGGAUGAGUUGCGAACGGGUGAGUAACGCGUAGGUAACCUGCCUGGUAGCGGGGCUUAACUAUUGGAAACGAUAGCUAAUACCGCAUAACAGUAGAUAUUGCAUGAUAUCUGCUUGAAAGGUGCAAUUGCAUCACUACCAGAUGGACCUGCGUUGUAUUAGCUAGUUGGUGGGGUAACGGCUCACCAAGGCGACGAUACAUAGCCGACCUGAGAGGGUGAUCGGCCACACUGGGACUGAGACACGGCCCAGACUCCUACGGGAGGCAGCAGUAGGGAAUCUUCGGCAAUGGACGGAAGUCUGACCGAGCAACGCCGCGUGAGUGAAGAAGGUUUUGUGGAUCGUA
rnacentral:rRNA from 1 species